rnacentral:rRNA from 1 species
GUGUCAGCCGCCGCGGUAAUACGAAGGGUGCAAGCGUUACUCGGAAUUACUGGGCGUAAAGCGUGCGUAGGUGGUUCGUUAAGUCCGAUGUGAAAGCCCUGGGCUCAACCUGGGAAUGGCAUGGGAUACUGGCGGGCUAGAGUGCGGUAGAGGGCAGUGGAAUUCCCGGUGUAGCAGUGAAAUGCGUAGAGAUCGGGAGGAACAUCCGUGGCGAAGGCGACUGCCUGGACCAGCACUGACACUGAGGCACGAAAGCGUGGGGAGCAAACAGGAUUAGAAACCCGCGUAGUCC